GUCUUGAGAAGCGCUAGUGUGAAACUGA
rnacentral:piRNA from 1 species